AAAAAAAAGAAAAGAAAAAAGAAAAAUAAAAUUUUCUCAUCUCCAUUACACCAACUUUCAUAAUGAAGAGUCACUCGUUCUUCUUCUUUCUUUCUUUUCUUUUCUUUUCCGGUGUUGCUUCAAAAGAAAAGGGGGAGGAUUUUUGAUGUUUUUAAGGCUUAUUGAAAACAG
rnacentral:ribozyme from 13 species